rnacentral:rRNA from 1 species
CAGAGGGGGCAAGCGUUAUUCGGAAUUAUUGGGCGUAAAGGGCGCGUAGGCGGCUUUGCAAGUGGCGGGUGAAAUCCCUCGGCUUAACCGAGGAACUGCCUGCCAGACUGUGAGGCUUGAGACCGGGAGAGGUGAGUGGAAUUCCCAGUGUAGCGGUGAAAUGCGUAGAUAUUGGGAGGAACACCAGUGGCGAAGGCGGCUCACUGGACCGGUACUGACGCUGAGGCGCGAAAGCGUGGGGAGCAAACAGGAUUAGAUACCCUGGUAGUCCACGCCGUAAACGAUGAGUGCUUGGUGUAGCGGGUAUCGACCCCUGCUGUGCCGACGUCAACACAUUAAGCACUCCGCCUGGGGAGUACGGUCGCAAGACUG